CCUACGGGAGGCAGCAGUAAGGAAUAUUGGUCAAUGGACGAAAGUCUGAACCAGCCAUGCCGCGUGAAGGAUGAAGGUCCUCUGGAUUGUAAACUUCUUUUAUCUGGGACGAAAAAAGGGCUUUCUAGCUCACUUGACGGUACCAGAGGAAUAAGCACCGGCUAACUCCGUGCCAGCAGCCGCGGUAAUACGGAGGGUGCAAGCGUUAUCCGGAUUUACUGGGUUUAAAGGGAGCGUAGGUGGGCAGGUAAGUCAGUGGUGAAAUCUCUGGGCUUAACCCGGAAACUGCCAUUGAUACUAUCUGUCUUGAAUAUCCUGGAGGUAAGCGGAAUAUGUCAUGUAGCGGUGAAAUGCUUAGAUAUGACAUAGAACACCCAUUGCGAAGGCAGCUUACUACGGGAUUAUUGACACUGAGGCUCGAAAGCGUGGGGAUCAAACAGGAUUAGAUACCCUGGUAGUCCACGCCCUAAACGAUGGAUACUCGACAUCAGCGAUACACUGUUGGUGUCUGAGCGAAAGCAUUAAGUAUCCCACCUGGGAAGUACGACCGCAAGGUUGAAACUCAAAUGAAAUUGAGGCUGAGACGNGCGACGACGACGACGAGGGAGGAGG
rnacentral:rRNA from 1 species